rnacentral:lncRNA from 1 species
UCACUUGACCAAAAUUGUAGAAAAUUUAAUUUGCUACAUUUUAUGUUUAAUUAAAUUUUCUGUAGGGUUGCUAGUUUACGAGAUACAGCGAAGAAAACUCUUUACACCACUUUUUCCAAGAUGGCGGGUGACAAGCAUAGCGUUUUGGGGACAAGCUUGGCGACCGCACAAACUUUAACUUAGGCUUCUACUGAUCUCUCCGACAAAUUAAAUAAAUAAAAUUGCGUCCUCUAAGAAAUGAAGGCCUAAAAAUGUAACAUUUCAAUGGACUAAACAGUGACCAUAACGUUGUUGCCAAGCUUAGCACCUUCUUAUGUUCUACAUUUAGAAACUCAAUGUUUGUGGCAGCUUUAUUACUACUGAUAUAUAUAUAUAUAUAUAUAUAUAUAUAUAUAUAUAUAUAUAUAUAUAUAUAUAAUAUUCUCUUGUAUAUUUCGAUAUUGUGAUCAAAUGAAUGUUUAUAAUGGAACAGCACAUUUUUAUCAUUUGGCAUUUUUUCGGAACAUUUGGUAUUACGGAAAUAAACUAGUUGAAGAUGCACUUUAAACAUGAUUUCGUCUGUUGUUUGUAAUGAUAAUACUCGCUUUUAUUCAUAAUUUCAUUUCAUUCGCUGUGUAAUAUCAUAUAACGAACCGAAAGAUAACUAUUAACUAGAGAGAUUUAUUACAUAGACAUUUUAAAGGACAUACAAGGCAUUUUAAAAGACUUACAUAGACUGUACAAUAAUAUGUACAUAUCUUCAUCGGGAAGAUACCUGGAAGAACCUAUCAGGUUCUUACAGGAAUAGUAUUGCUAAGUUUGUAUUUAAUAAUUGCUUAACUCUAUCAAGCAGGUGAGUGAUCGCCCUUACCUUUUUCUUUCCGGUUUUCUUGAACCAGUAGUCUCCACUUGAACCACUCCAUAAUAUUGGUACGUCUCAUAUGCCCGAAGAAUGUGAAUAUCCUUGAAGAUACGGACCUGGAGACGUUGGAGAUUAUUUAUCUCCACAUAAACAAAUAUAUUUGUUCUUAUCGCUGUUCAAGAUAAAAGUAUUCUUCCCCAACUUCUUCUUUAGGUGCCGUGUCCGUAUUCAGACGUUGGCCGUCAUCAUGUUUACUCUUUCAUCACAAAUAACAUUUCAGGACGCUCUUGCGAAUACCCAACCACAGGUUUUUGUUACAUAAAACUGGUUUCCAGGUCAUAAAAUCCUUAUCUAAAAUGGUUUACACGUUCUGUGUUCUUUCCUUUACGAGAAAGCGGAUCUUCAUCUAUAUUAAUCUUUCCAACUGCCGUCCACUUUGUCUUUGAAAUGAUAUGAUAUUACUCUCCCUUGUCUGUCAUCCAAAGUUCCCCUAAAGAUUUUUAGAGACUCUACUCCAACACCACAUCUCAAAUGUAUAGAUUCUUUUACUAUGGUUCUUUUCAUGAGCAUUUUCUUUCAUAUCUGCUGUUCAAAUGGAAGUUUCGAAAGCAUAACUUAAUAUUGGGAAACCAAAUGUUUGUACUGGAUUGAUUUUAGUGUUUUCAGUUAUGUAGUCUAUAUCUUAUGAUCAGUUUGGAGUCUUUUUAUCUUGUUAGUCUUUCAUUACAUCAGAAUAUUAUGUGAAUUAUAAAGUAACAUUUUCCUUUCCUUGGACAAAGGUCUCCCGUAGUCUUUUCCCCAUAGUAGUUUGAAACAGAUUGCAUCCAUAUUUGGGUGAUGCAUUUUAUAUCCUCAGACCAUCUUGUUGGUGAACGGUCUAUGCUCCGGAAAGUACCCUGUCUUUGUCUCCACUAGAUUAUGGGCUUUGUCCAUCGCUCCUCUUGAAAAACGGAAAAGAAGCUCAGAUCGUACGUAUCUAAUACAGAAAAAUGAUUUUUUAAAAGAAGUCUAUACAAAAAACAGGAAGCGUUAAAUAUUACAGCCAUCAUCAUCAUGCAGCCUUCUGCAUCCAAAGUUGAACAUAUGCUCCUCUAAUUUCUUCCAGUUUUGUCGAUCUUGGACUUCCUGCAAUCAAUUCCCAGCAAUCCUUUUGACGUCGUCUGUCCAUCGUGUAGGUGGUCUACCUCUACCUACUUAUGUCUGCUCUUGGUCUCCACACUGUAAUUUUUUGGGUCAACCUCAAGGUUAAUAGAUUGGGCGUAGGUUGUCUCGUAACUAUACACUACUCAAAUGCUCGCUUUUUAAAGGCGGGAAUACGUCACCCUACGACACUUUUGAAAUUGUCAUAAGUUUCAUUGCUAAUAAAAGGUUCAAAAACUUCGGUUUUGCAAUAUAUUUUGGGAUUUUUUUGGAUAUAGAUAUAUUAAGGGGUUCUUAUAUUGAUAAUUACAUCAAUUUUUCCCUUAAAAAUCAAUAGUCUGCUGACAAAAAAUAGAAUUGAUUUAAAGAAGAUUUAACAUUAUUUAUUGUGUGUUUUAAAUGAAGAUAACAGUUCAAUUCGCACAAAAAACCCAAAACAAAAAAGUAGAAAAAGUUUAGCAAAAUUACAUAUUCUAAUAAUAUAAAUAAUUUAUUUUUAGAUUAAAAUACAAAAUAUCAUUUGUCCUUCAAGCACUAAUCCAUUAAAAAUGUACCAUGUAUACGUAUUAAUUAAAAAUUAAACAAAUAAACACUAUUAAAGAAAAUUAUAUAGAAAUAUUCGGAAACGCACCACAACAUAAAAAAA